CGCGCAACUGGUAGGCGGUGGCGAUGCCGGCGAUGCCGCCGCCGAUGACGAUUACAUCCAUGUUCGAUUCGAUGUCGGGCGCC
rnacentral:tRNA from 1 species